GCUCCAUGGUGUUUAUACUUGCGUACUAUUGUUUGUACAGAUGAACGUGGUACCUUCAGGCGUUUGGAAAUUGCUUCCAAGGAUAAACCAGACUUGUGGAGGUCUGAUUUCUCCCCUGUGUGAGUCCGUAUAUGUUGAGUUAGGUUCCCGCUGCGAUUAAAGCUUUUCUCGCAGUCACCACAGCUAAAUUGUUUAUCUCCUGUGUGAAUCAUCAUGUGCUUGGACAGAACUCCUUCAAGUUUGAAGGUCUUGUCAAAAAAGGGGUAUGUGCUGGUUUUCCCACCAUGACACAGUCUGACAUGGGCCUUCAGUUUGCAGGUAGAGUUGUAGAAAUGUUUGCAGAAUUGGCAUUCACUGCGUUUCUUCUUGGCGAGAGUCACAUGCAUCUGCAGGUCAGAUUUUAGAGCAAAGGUUUCACCACAGACACAGCAGCUGAGAGUUUUUAUGUUUCUUAAAUGAUGGGUUGUGAUCCAAUGGUGGGCUGGGAUCUAAUGUUGGGCUGCUGUCGAGUCCUAUUGAGUCGCUGCUUUCGUCUGUGCUGUGGCUGGAUGCAUCGUUUUGAUUAUUUGGAGGGUCACAGGGAAUAUUGAGAGCCUUUAGCUGAGUCACAGUGCCAAAAGGUGUGAGAUUCACUUGUUUAGGGUCACACUCUCUGUUCUCCACAGUCUAGAUUUGAGGAGGAGUCAAGGGGUCCUCCUGACCACAUUUACUUGUCACACAGGCAGGAGUGAACAUUGUGUGUUUGGUAUCAAAGAGCUCUUGAAGCUGUUCUUCCUCCUGACUGAUUUGCCCCUCUUCCUCUUUAAUCUGUGUGGCUUCAGUGUUCUCUUGCCCCAGACUGAAGCUCCACUCCUGCUCACAGUGCUGAUGCUCAGGGAGAACCUCCUCUUCAGAGACAGCAAGAGAGAGCUGCAAGGAAUUUGGAAGGAAUGGGGGGGGGCUAAGGUUAUCCAGCCUUUAGACAGCAGGGUUACAGUGAAUUUGAAUUGAAAGGAGCAAUCUGCAGUUCAAACAAUAACAAAGCAGGUACCCCGUCACUGUUUUGGUAAAGGGGUGAGGCUUGCUAAAUGGAACCACUAUCAAAUUCAUAGACAGCGCUAUGGGUGAAAAGGACUGACCAGCUAUGAUAUCAAAAUGACAGUUUUAAACAUGUUGAGGCUAUAAAGUGUUUGUUUACAAUUACAUUGUUUAGAAACACUGUAGUAAAACAAGCUUAUAUUUGGGGUUCGAGGCAUCCAUAAAUUAUUAUUCUUCUUCAAGAAUCCAUGGGUAUAUUAUUCAUUUUAAGGUUUUAAAAAAUGUAUGUACCAAUCGCAGAUUGCAAAUCUAGAAUCUAUUUCCAAUUACCUCUCAAUAAACUAAAGUGAAAAAGCGAUUUAUUUCAAAAAAAUUGUCCAUUUAAAAAAAAUGAUAAAUUCAAAUCACUUCCAGGUUUUUGUGAUAUAGAACAGUUUUCUCCAUACUAGUAAACCACCACCUCCAGAGGUAAACAUGUUAAAUGAUUAAAUAGUUACUGUUAUGCAUGUGUUUUAUAAACUGCUAUGUUUAACACUUUUUUAUUUUCUUCAUAUAUCUAUAGCCCUUCGCACCAGUUUCCACCUCCUUCAAAAACCCCUGUAGCUUCCUCUAGAGAAGGAGCAUGACACAUGCUCUGCCUAAUAGGGCUGUUGCGAUAGCAGUAUCGCAAUAUUCUUUCCAUGUUUCCAAAAAUGAAAACAUGAAGCAGAUAAUACUUCGGUCCUUUAAAAACCUGCUGUAUGUAAAAUAUUGUGUGCUAUAGCUUGGAAAAUAAAUCAAUGUGACUCUGGAUGGAAAUAUAAUGAUGUUUGUUUCCACAUGUUACAUUAGGUCUGUUUUCCUGAAGAAGUUCAAUCCGCUCCGUGUUUUGGUUCCUUGGCACGAUACUAACGAGAAAAGAAAAGCUCCUACGGUCACCUCUGUCACGCCACCCUCAGUAGCUAAAAACACCAUCUGCUGUGCCCGCUGCGGGAGCGUGGUCCAUCUGCAAGCUCCCCUCAGGAGCGUGAGACGGAGGUGCCAAGUGUGUGCUGCGACUUCUGCCAGCACUGCACCCACUGCUGUUGUGUGCUGCAGGACACAGAGAGGGCAGUGGAGCUGGACUUUUAAUGCGAUAUGUGUGACAAUAUAGGGAUGGAGGUCGGGAUUUAGUUGUCUUGUUUGCUUUGAUGUAUGUAUUUAUGAAUCUAAUAUAUGCUAUUUAAUAUAUAUUUAUUCAAACCAUGUCUUGUUUUCUUUCCAAGUGUAUCACUGUAACACAGUGUUUUACUGUUCACGUCAAUACAUGUUUAUUUAAUGUCUAUUAUUCGUAUUCCUUUAUAUUUUUGCAUUAAACUAGUGUCUACUUUGUCAAAACA